CCCGCUCCAUCCCUCUGCCUGCGGCCGGGGUUGGGGCAGGCCGGGCGGGCAGCCGGCGUUCCUCAGGCUGCUGUUCUGCCUGCGGUGCUGAACUGCCUUGGGUUUGCUUUGGGUUUGCUUUGGGUUUGGUUUUUUUUUGGUUUUUUUCCCCAGCUCUCUCCUUCUGCCCCCAGGAUUUGGGGUUCUGGAAGCUAAAGCCCGCCAUGGUCCCCACCGCCGAACCUCUGCUGGGCCGGCUGAUGCACAGGGGGGGGUCUCGGGGUUUUCUGCAUGGAAGGCGACACACAGUUCCCAAGGGAUCUCCCCAGAUUCUGCACCCGAAACGGUGGCAUCGCAUCGGUGUUGGUGGCCAAGUGCAAGAUCAUCCUUAAAGGAGAAAGAGCCUGGAGCUGGGAUAUAAAGUAUUCUUCUAGGAGUACUGCCAGAACCGAUCUGUUUUAUGCUGCUGCUGCUGCUGCUGCUGUUCUGCUGUGUCAUGGGAAGAGAGUUACCUAGCCACACCAGCCCUGGGAAACGGCACCUCAGGCAGAGCCGCUUGCUGCAAACCCGAGCCGUGUUGUGCAAAGCCGAAGGUUCAUGUUCCUUGGAAAGGCCUGAAGAAGCCCAAGGCUACAUCCGCCUGUGGAUGAGAAAGGUUCGAAUAAACACCGGCGUGCACGUACACGUGCAUAUACAUGCGCACGCACGGAAUUUAAAGCAUCCCAUUGAGGUGUAUGUAUAGGAAAAUCUUUCAUCAUGUGAUAGGCUUUAAUAUCUGCCUUAAAACUAAUCCCUAUCUGAUGGACUCUGUCUUUGUGUUGUGGCGGACCACAGGAAGCUCAAUGGCUGGGGUUCCUGUGCAGGUUUUUAAAACUGCCAAAUAAAAUCCUCCGUUUGCUGUUGGAUUAAUUCGGGUUUUCACAGCAGUUACCUGGGAAGUGCUCAUCUUGUGAAAGCAAGUAAGAAAACUUUAUGGGGCUCCAGGUCUAUUUUUCCACAAUAAUAAUAAUAAUAAAAAAGACCCUCGUUGUGGGGUCAGGACGAGAUCCGAUGCUAUUCCAUGAGGAAAUGGUUAAAGGGCUCGGCAGAGUUCUUCAGUUCCUCUGUUAGAGAUAACACUCUUGGGUUUUAUUCGAGCUUGAGCUUUGGAGACGGUCCUGCUUACUUGUCAGUGUUGUCUUUGCUGCUUUUUUUGUUCAUUUUUGUCAUUGAAACUGGAUCUUCUCGUUUCACUUCUCUUUAUAAUUUGUUUCACUCUUUAGUUCCCAUGUGUUAGAAAGUGCAGUUUCAUUUAGACUCUCGACUGAAUGGAAGAAAGCCUGAUUCCAGAAAGCAAUUUGCAGUAAUACAUUUUCUUUACCACUCACAUGAAAACAUUACUACUGAAACAGAUCUAGGUAUAAACAAUGCUGACAGGCCCUCAGAAACAAAACCAACUUGUGAAAUUGAGGCAAAUAGCCCAGAGAACCUGAAAUGUUCUGGUUUCGAAAACACUGCCUGCUGUCAAAAAUAGGGUAAAAUAAAGCUUUGUUUACGUGUAGAGCAGAGUGUUUGUUGAUCGAGUUUCUAAGGUGAUGUAGCAGGAAAUACUGAUCUUAGGAAAAAUGACAUGAACAAAGCAUGAAACUCUAAUUCGGCAGCUAUUUGUCGACCAAUACAGAAAAAAAAAGGGAUAUUUAAAAAGCAAUGAGAGGUUUCCAUUGGACUUUUUCUCUCCCUUGCCAGAAAAUAUGAAGGGAGCCUCUCGCCUGCUCUGCUCCUGUAUAGAACUAUUUGCAUGAGCAGAGCUAAACCAUUUAUCAGAAAGAAUGUUUCCGUCAGAUGCAAAUCCCUACGCUAGCUGCUGUUUCUACGUCAUGUCACGGACGAGAUUGAUGCUAGAGCAAGGUUAUAAUGUACCUGCAUUUUCUCCAGAUUGGUGCCAAGCUUGCUGAGUCAUUUUCCCUGUUCCUAUUCUGCAGUCGGCUGCCUGCUCGCUUUCCCCUGUUAUUUGUGUGGGUCGUAAGCCCAGCAACAGAUGAGAAUAAAUGCUUAUAUUUCUUUAGGCUGCCUCCCUAAGGAAAUGAACAUUCUGCUGUGCUGCUUUUCUGUUCAUGUAUGUGUCCAUCCCUCUCUCCCAAAAGCUUCUGAGCCAAAUAAUUAAUUUCAGAUUACUUGGGAGAAAACAGAAUUUCAAAGACGGUUAUAUUUCUGCAAGUUGCCACAGGGGCAGAAGGGAGCGAUCCAGAUCAGAAAUUGGAGCAGAACUUAGCCAUAACGCACCAGGGCUGGCAGCCACCUUCCAGCCACCCAACACCUACAUACCAGCCAAUUAGUCUAUGCGUAGCUACGCCGAGCCGCAGCACCGCCGGAUCCUGGCAGGCAAGAGAUAUCAUGGAAAAGCAGAGGAACCAGGGUAGUUCAGGGAACAAACUAUUUUCAAAGCAAAACAGAAGAGGAACUCAAGGAAUGUCAUCGUAGGCAAGGGAAAAGUUCAUACCUGGAAAUGCCUCUCUCUAGUUUUGGGGAACGAUCUAGCUUGUACGUCGCUCCCAAAGCAAAACAUGGCAGAGGAGCCAGGUUGGGCUGUCCUUAGAGCUAGCACAGCUUGCCAGUCUAGUGCUCUGUUUGUCUUGGCACUAAAGCUGUGGGCAAAGACCCCCCAUCCACACCUCUUCCAAACGUGGUCAGUAGAUGCGUAGCCGCUGAGACGCCUACAUAACUCAGUGACAAGCAAUGCCAACUACAGGCUUGAGCCUGCUGAGUCCUACAACCCCGCUCUACCUUUCCGGUGUAGCCUUGCUGCAGCUGAGGCUCCGAGUUGGCUUAGGCUUGACAAUAGCCAAGCCUGGGGUAUCUCCUCAGGGACAGAAGGGAAGCUUUUGAGUUCCUACCUAGGCUGGAGCCCUCCCAACUGACAAACUGAGACAAUGGCAUGGGAGAGCUCUAGCCUUGCAUCUCCGCCUCAGCGAGCGCUGGGAGGCGAACACAGGGAUGAUGGUCAGGCCAGGACCGGACGACAGGAUCAGACCCAUUCUCACCUGAGAACAAAGGCUGAAUUUGUAUGUCCUUCCUCUACCAGCUGCACCUUGCUUGGACCAGCCGCUGCAGGAUAGUUAUCCUAACGCCACGCAUAACAUCCGCUCUCAUCUCAAUUGCGAUUAGUUUUGAGGCAACAGACAGUUUCAGCGUGACAAACUGCAAGCUAAAAAAAGCCGUGCCUUCAUAUGCAUAAACUGGAUGCACAAAAUAUGUAUUGUGUGCCACCUCCCUUAUGUCCCGCAUUUGU